UACGUAGGGGGCUAGCGUUGUCCGGAUUUAUUGGGCGUAAAGAGCGUGUAGGCGGUCCGGUAAGUCCGUUGUGAAAGUCAGGGGCUCAACCCUUGAAUGCCGGCGGAUACUGUCGGGCUAGAGUCCGGAAGAGGCAAGUGGAAUUCCCGGUGUAGCGGUGAAAUGCGCAGAUAUCGGGAGGAACACCUAUGGCGAAGGCAGCUUGCUGGGACGGUACUGACGCUGAGACGCGAAAGCGUGGGGAGCAAACAGG
rnacentral:rRNA from 1 species